UUUCGCUAGCCAAUUUUUCAGGCACAGCUUAUAUUGACAUUGCCUUCCUACUCCUUUCUUACCUCAGACUGGUGUAGUGUUUGCUUAUGAUAUAAAGCUGGCAAACGUUUUGUUUGGCUUUCUUGAGGUAAUAUGUAAAAAUCAGUAAAUCUCCUAAAUUUUGCAGAUGAGAGCUCUUCAUCUACCAAGCUCCUCUACAAGGGCAAGCCCACACCUGUGUGAGCACAGAAGUGUCUGCACACCUGUGUUCACCCAGGGGGGAGGGGUGGGCCUCAGGUGUGGAGGGCAGUGCACUUCCUGCAGCACUUUGGUCAGGAACUCUAGCUCUGGCUGCCUUUCAGCACAAGCUGUCUUAUAUGUGUAGAGUAUCUUUUAUAUGGAAAGCUCUUGUUUUUUUUUUUCAAGCUGCAUCAAAGUUUCUCAGGUGAAGGCAGCUGCAAAGUCUGCAGAUUUCCACGUACAAAAGUUACUUCAAAUGGCGUUUCUGUGAGAAGACAACUAGUGACUCUUUGCCAUUCCUAUGAGGAUGACCAUCCAGCUCAGUUCCUCAGCAUCCUUGUGGCAGCAGUAGAUGUUUGGGGAAAACACACAAUAACAGGACACAUCUGGAGAGAUCCUUUCCCAGGUACACCAUCCUAACUUUCUGCAGUUGACACCAUAGGAUUUUUUCCACUUCUGUCGGUGUUCUGUUGGCCUCUGGAGAUAAAACUUACAAAAUAUACACUGACUAACACCCACAAGAAAUUUUGCAAGGAUGUAGAAGGGUAUUGCAGAAAUUAGCUCCUUGAGGUCACAGAUGAGUUGAGAAAAA
ensembl:lncRNA